UACGUAGGGUGCAAGCGUUGUCCGGAAUUAUUGGGCGUAAAGCGCACGUAGGCGGCUUUGUAAGUUAGAGGUGAAAGCCCAGGGCUUAACCCUGGAAUUGCCUUUAAGACUGCAUCGCUAGAAUCGUGGAGAGGUGAGUGGAAUUCCCAGUGUAGAGGUGAAAUUCGUAGAUAUUGGGAAGAACACCGGUGGCGAAGGCGGCUCACUGGCUCGUAACUGACGCUCAUGCACGACAGCGUGGGGAUCAAACAGG
rnacentral:rRNA from 1 species